UGAAAUAGCCACAAUGUGCUUAAAAAAAUACCGGUUAAUUAUCUUUCGUUUGACCUGUUAGGGAGAAGAUAACUUAUUUCCUAGUUAUUAUUAGUAAAUAUUAUAACUACAGUUAUUAGUGGCUUAAAAUACCAGAAACACCCAAAAAUUGUCUUAGAAAACAUUUUUUUUUUUUUUUUUACCAAGAUCUGACAGCCAUUGUGGAAAGUUACGUUUGUGAGAUUGGAUGCUUAACAAUGAGAAUCUUAAUUGUUUAAGUAUAUUUUUCAGUGGCUGUUGGGUUAGCUUAAGAUGAUUUGGAUUUUU